CGUAGGUGGCAAGCGUUGUCCGGAUUUAUGGGUUUAAAGGGUGCGUAGGCGGUCUUGUAAGUCAGUGGUGAAAUACGGCAGCUUAACUGUCGAGGUGCCAUUGAUACUGCAGGACUUGAGUACAGACGAGGUAGGCGGAAUUGACGGUGUAGCGGUGAAAUGCUUAGAUAUCGUCAAGAACACCGAUAGCGAGGGCAGCUUACUAGACUGUAACUGACGCUGAUGCACGAAAGUGUGGGGAUCAAACAGGAUUAGAUACCCUGGUAGUCCACACUGUAAACGAUGAUUACUCGAUGUUGGCGAUACACAGCCAGCGUCUUAGCGAAAGCGAUAAGUAAUCCACCUGGGGAGUACGCCGGCAACGGUG
rnacentral:rRNA from 1 species